AAACCCUAUUUCCUCUUUUCAGCCACAGUCGCCGCGCACCCACGCUCGUACACUCAGCUGCCGCUGCGCCAAGGAGAAGCUGUGCGCGGUCCAGGCACAGGUGCAGGGUGAACAGGAGGCGGCGACAACACUCCAGAGGAGGGUGGAUGAGCUAGAGAGCGGCGGAUAGGAGAGGGCCGGUGUGUUGGCGGUGGAGGGCGUGGAGCUGCGCAGGGCAAACACUGUGCUAGAGGAGAACAACAGGGAGCUUGCCUUGAGGCUGCAGGACGCGAUCGAGCAGGCUACUGCAUCUGCCUCCGCUAAUCUAGCUCCUAAGGUUCGACAUGCCCCGUGCCUACCAUCACUCUCGAUUUGAAGAAGAGUCUCAAGAUUUUGCAGGAGGGAGGUCCUAGAGGUAGCAAGCAGAUCGUGGUGGUACCUAUGGAUGAGCGCUAUAGCAAGAUCAAAAGUUCUUGUGGAUGGAUGUUAUUUUGUUUUGUAUUUCUCGAAAAGAGAAAUUUGCAAGUGAACUUAAAAUUGUGAAGCCACAUGUUCUCAUAUGUGGUUGUACUAGCUAGUAUCUCUGAGGUUUAACAAGUCAAACUUAGGGUUGUUGUCUGCUUAUUUUGAUCUUUAUUACGACAAGAGCAAACUUGUGACCUUUAUGUAUGAAUGCAGUACAAUUGUUAUUGCCAUGAAUGAAAAUAUGAGCUAUGUUUGACCAAA